UACGUAGGCAGCGAGCGUUGUUCGGAGUUACUGGGCGUAAAGAGUGCGUAGGCGGUUUUCUAAGUUUGGUGUGAAAUCUCCCGGCUCAACUGGGAGGGUGCGCCGAAGACUGGAAGGCUUGAGUAUGGGAGAGGUAAGCGGAAUUCCUGGUGUAGCGGUGAAAUGCGUAGAUAUCAGGAGGAACACCUGCGGUGUAGACGGCUUACUGGACCAUAACUGACGCUGAGGCGCGAAAGCAUGGGGAGCGAACGGG
rnacentral:rRNA from 1 species